GUGCUCUCUUCAGCAGCACAUUUACUAAAAUUGGAACAAUAAAGAGAUUAGCAAGGCCCCUGCACCAGCAUGACACAGAUUCGUGAAGCAUUCUACACACAA